rnacentral:rRNA from 1 species
AUGAACGCUGGCGGCGUGCCUAAUACCUGCAAGUCGAGCGAACAGACGAGGAGCUUGCUCCUCUGACGUUAGCGGCGGACCGGUGAGUAACACGUGGAUAACCUACCUAUAAGACUGGGAUAACUUCGGGAAACCGGAGCUAAUACCGGAUAAUAUAUUGAACCGCAUGGUUCAAUAGUGAAAGACGGUUUUGCUGUCACUUAUAGAUGGAUCCGCGCCGCAUUAGCUAGUUGGUAAGGUAACGGCUUACCAAGGCAACGAUGCGUAGCCGACCUGAGAGGGUGAUCGGCCACACUGGAACUGAGACACGGUCCAGACUCCUACGGGAGGCAGCAGUAGGGAAUCUUCCGCAAUGGGCGAAAGCCUGACGGAGCAACGCCGCGUGAGUGAUGAAGGUCUUCGGAUCGUAAAACUCUGUUAUUAGGGAAGAACAAAUGUGUAAGUAACUAUGCACGUCUUGACGGUACCUAAUCAGAAAGCCACGGCUAACUACGUG